GCGGGCGUGGCGGAAUUGGUAGACGCGCUGGUUUUAGGUACCAGUGACGAAAGUCGUGUGGGUUCAAGUCCCUCCGCCCGCACCA
rnacentral:tRNA from 1 species